rnacentral:lncRNA from 1 species
CAAUCACAAAAGAAAAUAGCAAAAAAUUGAUGAAAAAAAUCCAAAAGUAGAGAAACAAACAAAAGUAAUGGGUUUGAAGGUUUGAAUGGGAAAACCUCUUAGUUUAAGGGUUUUUGAGUAGUUCAAGGGGUUUGGUUCACUCGGGAAGCUCUAGGUUUGUAAGUUUUAGAGAGGGAUGAGAGAAUUGGAGGUUGAACUAUGGGCUGAGAGUGGUGGAGAGGUGA